GAUGAACGCUGGCGGCGUGCUUAACACAUGCAAGUCGAACGAAGCACUUUAUUUGAUUUCCUUCGGGACUGAUUAUUUUGUGACUGAGUGGCGGACGGGUGAGUAACGCGUGGGUAACCUGCCUUGUACAGGGGGAUAACAGUUGGAAACGGCUGCUAAUACCGCAUAAGCGCACAGCAUCGCAUGAUGCAGUGUGAAAAACUCCGGUGGUAUAAAAUGGACUCGAGUUGGAUUAGCUAGUUGGUGAGGUAACGGCCCACCAAGGCGACGAGCCAUAGCCGACCAGGGAGGGUGACCGGCUACAUUUGAACUGAGACACGGCCCGAACGCCUACGGGAGGCAGCAGUGGGGAACAUUGCACAAUGGGCGAAAGGCUGAUGAAGCGACGCCGCGUGAGCGAAGAAGUAUUUCGGUAUGUAAAGCUCUAUCAGAAGGGAAGAUAAUGACGGUACCUGACUAAGAAGCACCGGCUAAAUACGUG
rnacentral:rRNA from 1 species